rnacentral:tRNA from 1 species
GCGUAAGUUGAGCAGGCGGUGUGCUCAAGUGGCUGUAAACCACUCGCUUCGGCAUUGGGGGUUCGAUUCCCUUCUUACGCAC